rnacentral:rRNA from 1 species
CCUACGGGUGGCAGCAGUGGGGAAUAUUGCACAAUGGGCGCAAGCCUGAUGCAGCCAUGCCGCGUGUGUGAAGAAGGCCUUCGGGUUGUAAAGCACUUUCAGCGGGGAGGAAGGCGUUAAGGUUAAUAACCUUGUCGAUUGACGUUACCCGCAGAAGAAGCACCGGCUAACUCCGUGCCAGCAGCCGCGGUAAUACGGAGGGUGCAAGCGUUAAUCGGAAUUACUGGGCGUAAAGCGCACGCAGGCGGUCUGUCAAGUCGGAUGUGAAAUCCCCGGGCUCAACCUGGGAACUGCAUUCGAAACUGGCAGGCUAGAGUCUUGUAGAGGGGGGUAGAAUUCCAGGUGUAGCGGUGAAAUGCGUCGAGAUCUGGAGGAAUACCGGUGGCGAAGGCGGCCCCCUGGACAAAGACUGACGCUCAGGUGCGAAAGCGUGGGGAGCAAACAGGAUUAGAUACCCCGGUAGUC